GGGGAUUUAGCUCAGCGGUAUAAGCACCUGCCUUGCAACUAGGUGGUCGGUUCUGAGUUUAAUCCCCG
rnacentral:tRNA from 1 species